rnacentral:rRNA from 1 species
CCUACGGGUGGCAGCAGUGAGGAAUAUUGGUCAAUGGACGCGAGUCUGAACCAGCCAAGUAGCGUGAAGGAUGACUGCCCUAUGGGUUGUAAACUUCUUUUAUAUGGGGAUAAAACGUUCCACGUGUGGGAUUUUGUAUGUACCAUAUGAAUAAGGAUCGGCUAACUCCGUGCCAGCAGCCGCGGUAAUACGGAGGAUCCGAGCGUUAUCCGGAUUUAUUGGGUUUAAAGGGAGCGUAGGUGGAUUGUUAAGUGAGUUGUGAAAGUUUGCGGCUCAACCGUAAAAUUGCAGUUGAAACUGGCAGUCUUGAGUACAGUAGAGGUGGGCGGAAUUCGUGGUGUAGCGGUGAAAUGCUUAGAUAUCACGAAGAACUCCGAUUGCGAAGGCAGUUCACUGGACUGCAACUGACACUGAGGCUCGAAAGUGUGGGUAUCAAACAGGAUUAGAUACCCGAGUAGUC